rnacentral:lncRNA from 1 species
UCUGAAUAGCUGGGACCACAGGUGUGAGCCACUACACCUAGCUAAUUUUUUUUUUGUAUUUUUAGUAGAGACCGCGUUUCGCCAUGUUGGCCAGGCUGGUCUUGAACUCCUGACUUCAAGUGAUCCACUCACCUUGGCCUCCUAAAGUGCUGGGAUUACAGGCAUGAGUCACUGCACCUGGCCUAAAAAUAAUGUAUUUAUUAUUAUUUUAUUUUUUAAAACACAGAGACGGCUGGGUGCAGUGGCUCACUCCUGUAAUCCCAGCACUUUGGGAGGCUGAGGCAGUUGGGUCACCUGAGGUCAGGAGUUCAAGACCAGCCAGGCCAACAUGGUUUAAAAUACAAAAAUUAGCAGGUCGUGGUGGCAUGGGCCUGUAAUCUCAGCUACUCGGGAGGCUGAGGCAGGAGAAUUGAUGGAACCUGGGAAGCGGAGGCUGCAGUGAGCUGAGAUUACACCACUGCACUCCAGCCUGGGC